rnacentral:rRNA from 1 species
AUUGAACGCUGGCGGCAGGCCUAACACAUGCAAGUCGAACGGAACGGGUGACGGGUGAGUAAUGCCUAGGUAUGUGACUGGUAGUGGGGGAUAACGUCCGCAAAUGGGCGCUAGUACCGAAUACUUUCAGAUGAGGCUAGGUCGGAUUAGCUAGUUGGUGGGGUAGAGGCCUACCUAGGCGACGAUCCGUAGCUGGUCUGAGAGGAUGAACAGGCACACUGGAACUGAGACACGGUCCAGACUCCUACGGGAGGCAGCAGUGGGGAAUAUUGGACAAUGGGCGAAAGCCUGAUGCAGCCAUGCCGCGUGUGUGAAGAAGGUCUUCGGGUUGUAAAGCACUUUAAGUUGGGAGGCGUUACCAACAGAAUAAGCACCGGCUAACUCCGUGCCAGCAGCCGCGGUAAUUC